CUGUGGAUUAGCAAGCUCAGCGGCAGCACAACUCAAAGAUGCAAGGACUACGACAUGAGAUGCCAGGAUGCCCAUCCAUUUCAUGGAACAGGAAUCACUUGUCACUAGCGAACAUUUAUAAACAAACGCCCUGCAGAGCUUCACGUC